rnacentral:lncRNA from 1 species
GCCACCGCAGCCCAGGGCGGCGCCGUUGUCUCUGGGCCGGCGCGGCCGCCGCGCUCGCCUCCUCGCUCGCCCACCGAGCGCUUCACCCAGGGGCGGGCCCGUGAGCAGCCCGGAGGCGGAGGCCGCGGCAUCGACGGUUUGAGCGCCGCCGCUGCAUUGGUGGACCGCAAAGGAAAGAGAAAGAUCGGAGAAGGAUCUUUUACAGUCUCUGAUGAUCGGGAACAGGCACGAAGGAAGGAGGAGAGGACAUCUGAUUCCCCCAAAGUGAAGCUUCUCAGGAGUAGCAUUCGUGCGUAUCAUGGCGACGCCGAGGAGAAGCUUUCAGAUAGAAAAGGAGAACCAGUGAACUACCCGUUUCAUAAUUGCGGGGCAAGCACAUCAAAACUGCCUGCUCAUGUGUAUCACAAGAAAAUUCCCAUGGGAGAAGCUGCAAAUCAUUAUUUCAGGAACAUUGAUAAUUCUUUCCAGCAACCGGAAGUUGGUUUGCGUUUAAAGUAUCUCAGCCAUCACUAUUCAGAAUUUAGGCCAGUACAUAGAGAUGAGGAAUGUUUCUAUAGGAGUUUCAUAUUUUCCUACCUGGCAUUUGAGAGGCUGAUAGAGAAAAUAAAGGGAUGGAAGCGCAUGCAGGAGCACCCAAUAUCAAUAAUCAGAUUAGUAGCAGCUACCUGGAUGUGCACGCGCAUAUGGAAUUAUGAAUGGUGUGCAACUAAUUGUGGAGAAAAUCAGAAUCUGGAAGAUUGGUGCUCGAAGCACGUAAUUGCUCCUCGUGUGUACGCAACCUCUGCUGCAGUAAAAGCUUGUGCAGAAGCUCUCAGGGUGACCGUCCAAGUGGAGAACGUUCAUGAUGGAACUUGCGAAAGUACGCACUACAUUGUCCGCGGCGCUCCUCGCGUGACCUUGCUGCGCAUAGAGUCUCACUAUGACAUCAUCUACCCACUCCCUCCUAGUUCUAUUAAUAGUUCAAAUCCACAUGAGGAGAAGUUACUCCCAAUCCCAAGUAGCAUUCUUGCGUAUGACAGGAGAAAGAUUUUCGAUAGAAAACAAAAGCAUCUGGACCGCUCCAAUCAAAAUACUAGAGCAAGCACCUCAAAAUCACCGCCUCAUGAGGAUCAAAAGCGUUCAGGUAGAAAAAGAAAGCGACCUGGCUGCUCCAAUCAAAAUCCUAGAGCAAGCAUGUCAAAAUCAUCGCUUCGCAAGGAUCAUAAGUCCUCAGCUCUUGCAACUUUAGUUGAUACUAGAAGAAGAACGAGGUUAACAGAUACUAUCAUUCCUCCUGGAUGCGGAAGGACAAGGAAAUAUGAAAUCACAAGAAUGAGCACUCGACUUGUGUUACGAAGAAGUGUUAGGUCCCUUUACAAGUUGCACAGUCAGUCAAACUCACUCGCUGGUCGAUUCUCAUUGAGAAAUUUUCUGAUAAGUGAAGAGAUGACCAUUGAAAUGGAUGAGUUUCAAGCUGAUGAUUUAGACCCCUAUACAAAGGCCAAUGCAGAGGUUGACUUUUAUCAAUAUGUGAAGACUAUUGAAGAACUCUUUGAAUCUUUACCAGUUCCUGAAGAUAUUCACAGAUGGCUAAGUAUGAUUAUGAGAGAUCCAACUGCUUAUCAGUAUCUGAUAUGCUAUCACUACUGUUUGAUGGAAGAGCACCAAAUGAUGCAUGUCUUUACAUCAUUGUACAAUAAACUGCUAGUAUUGCCAACAACAGACCCAGCAGGAUACAAUUUUGUGCUUGAACGUCUCAAGAUAUUCUCUGGUUGGAGCCCGAUGGAUCUUCACAACGUUUAUUUCAUUGAAACCUUUUACUGGAAAGAUCCCAUCACGGGCGUACCAAUCAUCUACGGAGAUGAUGUUCUCUCCUUGCUGAGAUUGGUAAGAAAUACUUAUCAGCAUUUCAUGUCGAAGGUGGUAGAGGGCAGGAAACUACUCUUCUCUGAAAAAGAUUUCGGGAAUAUGGUCAACGAACAAUUUUCUGGGCUUCUUGACGAACUUUUUGAAGCGAUGUUCAUUGCCACGUAUUAUGCUGACUUACAACUUGAGCAUACAAUGGUGUAAAUUGAUAAGGAGAAGAAGUGACCUGCUGCUGAUUUCUGACGGGCGUGAGCUAAACCAGUUAAGAGUACGCAUGGUGUAAAUGAUGAGAGAAGUGGACAGUAGCUGAUUGUUAACAGCCAAUGAGCUAAACAGAGCUGUGUUUUAGUUGAACCUGUGCAGUAACGAGAUCCUUAUUGUUUUUUUGUUAAAUGUGACAUGCUGUGCAUGUGGAAUUGUUCAGUAUGUGAGUUCAUCUAUAGUAUGAAAGUGUUCUUUGAUCUAACAUUAUCUGUGAGUUCUAAAAUCACUUCC